rnacentral:misc_RNA from 1 species
AAAUGCGAUAAGUAAUGUGCAUUGCAGAAUUCAGUGAAUCAUCGAAUCUUUGAACGCACCUUGCGCUCCUUGGUAUUCCUUGGAGCAUGCCUGUUUGAGUAUCAUGAAAUCUUCAAAGUAAAUCUUUUGUUAACUCAAUUGGUUUCUACUUUGGUAUUGGAGGUCUUUGCAGCUUCACACCCGCUCCUCUUUGUUCAUUAGCUGGAUCUCAGUGUUAUGCUUGGUUCCACUCGGCGUGAUAAGUUAUCUAUCGCUGAGGACACUGUAAAAGGUGGCCAAGGUAAAUGCAGAUGAACCGCUUCUAAUAGUCCAUUGACUUGGACAAUACUUUUAUGAUCUGAUCUCAAAUCAGGUAGGACUACCCGCUGAACUUAAGC